rnacentral:sRNA from 1 species
CCUACUCCUACACCUACUCUUAUCACUUGUAAUCCAAAAAAGCUCCAUUUCUUUCUUAUACGCUAAUUCACUAUUAAAUAGAAAUGUAUAUGCAAAACAGCGAGAAAUUUGUAGAUACGUUGAAUGUUGUUGCUUUCACAUUUGCAACUCUUAGUAGUUGUUCAAAACAACAAUGUCGAGCAAAGAUGUUUGCGAUGUUUGAAUGAUUCUUGGAUUGUAUUUGGAUUCCAUCGGUACUAUGGCCUGUUGAUUCGGCACCUUUGUCAUUUUAGCAACUUUUGUUUUCUUUUCUGUGUCGAUGUAGUUCUCUAUACCAUAUUCAUGUUCAUAUUCAUGUUCAUAUUCAUGUUCAUAUCAAUGUCCAUAUCAAUGUCCAUAUCAAUUUCCCAUGUUCCAUUACAUAUCCCGUGUUCUUUCCUUCUUCCAGCUUUUACAUGCUAGCCUUUUAUACAAUGAUUCCUCUCAUCUCGACUCGCUUGAUGAAUGGGCGUUUAGUUUUUGCAACAACAUAUGCGUUGGGUUAUCUCAUAUCGGGAAACACUUUCUGCCACUUUUAACUUGAACAAAGUUGGAGAAAUAAAGUGAUGGCAGAUAUUGCAAGUUGUUUAUAGUGUGCCUGUAGAAAUGUAAAAACGCUAUGUUUCGUGAAUGCCCAGCCUGUAAAUCGAAAUAAGAUUUCGUAUUUAUUAAGCAUUGGGAAGAUCACAAUUGGAAAAACACGAUACGGGUGGUCUCUUCACAGUCGUUCUCCAGUAAUCACAAACAUGAAACCUAAAUAUACGGUAACUUUGCACCUAUUAGGACNACGCCUCAAGUGACUGC